rnacentral:rRNA from 1 species
ACAGAGGGUGCGAGCGUUAAUCGGAACUACUGGGCGUAAAGCGUGCGUAGACGGUAAUGUAAGUCGGAUGUGAAAGCCCCGGGCUCAACCUGGGAAUUGCAUUCGAGACUGCAUUGCUUGGGUGCGGAAGAGGGAAGCGGAAUUUCCGGUGUAGCGGUGAAAUGCGUAGAUAUCGGAAGGAACACCAGUGGCGAAAGCGACUUCCUGGACCAAUACUGACGCUCAUGUGCGAAAGCGUGGGGAGCAAACAGGA